CUGCUCCAUGUCUAAUAAAUAGCCGCAGAAUAUUAACUGUGCUAAGGUAGCAUAAUCAUUUACCUUUUAAUUAAAGGCCUGUAUGAACGAUUUAACACUUAAAUUACUUUUUUAUUAACACUAAUUAAAAUUAAACUAGACAUAAAAAUGUUUUUAUAAAAAAAAAAGACGACAAGACCCUAUUGAACUUUACUAAAGUUAAGCUGGGGAAGCUAAUUAAAUAUAAUUUUAAUUUUAUUGAUAAAAUUUCUGGGACCCCCAAUUUGAACAAGUUACCAUAGGGAUAACAGCGUAAUUACCCUUUAAAGCUCUUAUUCAAUGGGUAGAUUGCGACCUCGAUGUUGAAUUAAAAUUACUUUAAAACGCAAUAGUCUCAAAAGUGGGUCUGUUCGACCUUUAAUUUUUUACA
rnacentral:rRNA from 1 species